AAGUCGUAACAAGGUUUCCGUAGGUGAACCUGCGGAAGGAUCAUUAUUGAAUAAACCUGAUGUGGUUGUUGCUGGCUCUCUCGGGAGCAUGUGCACGCCCGUCAUCUUUAUAUCUCCACCUGUGCACCUUUUGUAGACCUGGGGAUUGAGCAAUCAAUCGUUGGGCCUACGUUUAUCAUAUACCCCAUAGUAUGUAUUAGAAUGUCUCAAUGGGCUUCGUGCCUAUAAACACUAUACAACUUUCAGCAACGGAUCUCUUGGCUCUC
rnacentral:misc_RNA from 2 species